GGAGGAUGGCAGCAAAAAGGAAGAACCUGGUUAUAAGAAAGUAUUUUUCAAAGAAACCUACUCCGCCCCUCCCUGAUUAUGAACCAUAUACACCUGCGAAGUCCCGGAGGCCAAUAAGAGGGCCUACCAGCCGACAAACAAAAGGCCUGAGAGAGAAGCAGCAGUGAUGGCGAUCUAGAAGUGGCAGCUGACAGCCGCAAGCGGCGGCGGCGCCGGAGUUGGCGUCAGUGCGAGGCUGGGAGAGCUUGGCGUGGUGCGAGGCUGGGAGAGCUUGGCGUGAAGCGAGCCAGGAGGAUACAGCGCCGAUACGCAAGGACGCAGGGCGAGGUGUCCGACUGCUUCAGCAACUGGAGGCCAGAUUUCGCGUCUGCGGAAACUAGAGGCGGCGAGGCGGGCCGGUGCCGAUUGGCGAUUACAAAGAAGCAGCGGGCAGAGUUAAGAGCUCUGCCCACUCGGGGUAAGUCUUUUGACUUGUCCCCUUUAAUGAAUGAUAGCUGCCGAAAAGAGUAGUGACUGCCGCUGCCUUACUUCCUUUAGCGCACCGGGGCGCAGAACGCGAAGAGGAAGACGAGGACGCCGCCGGGUUUCCCUCCUGCACCGCUUCACUGGAUUUUUAAAUUUUUAGUGACUUUUAUACCGUGGCGAUCGCCACUGGACUUUUAAUCUUGUGUUUUAUUGAUGUUUAUGGUGUGUUCCCCCCUGGCCAGGGCUGUUUUAAUCUAUUUUACAUUUUUUUAACGGUUUAAAUGUAAUAAAUUAUAUUUUCUCUUUACAGUCUUUAAAUUUGUUGUGCAUUCCCUUGGCUGCCCCACUGCUCUGUCCGUUUUAGGAGGGUUUCUCUCUUUUUAAUAUCUGUGCAAAGAAACUCCUUCCCUCCCUCCGUUACAGUUACAAAAUGUCAUAAGAUGCUGCGUGGCUGUACAAGAUAGACUUUGGUUAGCAACAACUCUCUGAGGCCUUUACUAUGAAGCAGAAUGCUGUCUUUUCCGGCUAACUUCAAGGGUCAAGUUAUCUUUUGAACCUAAUCUGCUCCAGAGCAAUUUAUGUUCCAAAUGUGAGAUCAACAGGUACAAAAUCACCACCUACUAACCAGUAAGACCAAAAAGAACAAAAUAAAAUCACCAGUCCUGGAAGAUCCCUCAGACCACUGUGCGCAGAGAGUAGGAGGGUGUAAAAUUUUUCAGCAGAGUCUGAUGUCUUUGUCUUUCCAUGAUUAGCAACGAUAAUGAAUAUAGAUUCUCUACAACAACUUUACUGUUUUGGAAGUAUUAAUAUAUGAUCCUAAAGCAGGACACUUGCACUGUAAUUGAUGACCUCACAUCACAUGUUAAAAUUGCACUUUUACAUUUAACCUUUUAAUCAGACCAGCAAAAAGCUCAUACUCAAUUUUAGCAGCAGUCAUUGUGACACUGAUGAUAAAACUUGUGUAAAAUUGCAAAACUGUAAAAAAAAAGGCAUUUUUGUAGCUCAAUGUUUUAAAUUACAGUUAACUUCACUGCUUUGCUGUUUCACCUGUAACACAUUAAAAUAACAUGCUAAGGUUUAAUGAGCUAUAAGGAAUACACUCUGAGCCCUGAGCCCUGGGCAGUGUUGUGCUAAUAAGAGAAGUUUUGUGUGUGCAGUGAACCAGUAAGUUUUGUAUUUCAUAAUUUAUUGAUUUUCUAUUAUCCUUUCUGACCUGCGUUAAUGAAGCAGCCAUUAGAGCACCAUGUCUGCUCUAACAGUUUUGUAGUUUGAUGCUUGAGUUAUUGCAGACUAGUUGAAACUCCUGUCAAAGCAGCGUCUGUGUAAUUCGCGUCCAGCAGAUGGCAGUGUUUCACUGUCAAAUGAUGGCUGUCUGACGCUUCA
ensembl:lncRNA